rnacentral:rRNA from 1 species
GACAGAGGGGGCAAGCGUUGCUCGGAAUCACUGGGCGUAAAGGGCGCGUAGGCGGGAUGGCAAGUCGGUCGUGAAAUCCUUCGGCUCAACCGAAGAACGUCGGACGAUACUGCCGUUCUUGAGGGAUGCAGAGGAGAUUGGAAUUCCCGGUGUAGCGGUGAAAUGUGUAGAGAUCGGGAGGAACACCGGUGGCGAAGGCGGGUCUCUGGGCAUCUCCUGACGCUGAGGCGCGAAAGCGUGGGGAGCAAACGGG